ensembl:miRNA mir128-1 microRNA 128-1
CUGAGCGCCCGGAUCCGGGGCCGGAGCACUGUCUGAGAGGACUACAAUUCUCACAGUGAACCGGUCUCUUUUUCAGCCGCUCCAU